rnacentral:rRNA from 1 species
CCAAUAGCGUAUAUUAAAGUUGUUGCAGUUAAAAAGCUCGUAGUUGAAUUUUGGGUCUGGCCGGGCGGUCCGCCCUCUGGGUGAGCACUGUUCCGACGUCGGGCCUAUCCUUCUGGUGAGUCGGCAUGUCCUUUAUUGGGUGUGUCGGGGAACCAGGACCAUUACCUUGAAAAAAUUAGAGUGUUCAAAGCAGGCGUAUGCUCGGAUACAUUAGCAUGGAAUAAUGAAAUAGGACGCGUGGUGCUAUUUUGUUGGUUUCUAGAACCGCCGUAAUGAUUAAUAGGGAUAGUUGGGGGCAUUAGUAUUCAAUUGUCAGAGGUGAAAUUCUUGGAUUUAUUGAAGACUAACUUCUGCGAAAGCAUUUGCCAAGGAUGUUUUCAUUAAUCAAGAACGAAAGUUAGGGGAUCGAAGACGAUCAGAUACCGUCGUAGUCUUAACCAUAAACUAUGCCGACUAGGAAUCGGGCGAUGUUAUUCUCAUGACUCGCCCGGCGCCUUAU